UGAAACCCUUGAAGAACUCUUGUACUUCUGUGAAUGUCGGUGGUGGACAUGGCCCCCCCAGGGAGAGAGGGGUGACAAAUCGCUCCUGCAACCUGCAAAAUACAGGUUCAGUUAUAGGAAUACCAAGGUCAGCGUGGCUGACUGAGGCAAAAUCAAGGUUUGCAGAAAGAUAUUGGACGCAGUCACCAUGGUUGUGCAGUUGAAAACGUUGCAAUUAUGUUCUCUGUAUGUACACUGUCACCUGUAAUAGCUGAGACUGGAAGAGCCUUGCAAAUGGAACAUAAUUAGCUUGAUCUGACCUUUGAUGGACAAGUAAUCUGAAGAGGAAGUAGUUCAUCCAAGUCAGAGCAGGCUUAGUGAAGCCACCAUCACAGUAAUAUCAUCUUUUUACUGUAAUCACCACCAUCAUCACAAUAAAAUCCUCACAGCAAAUGUCAUUACCAUAAUAAUCAUAACCAUCAACCACAACCAUCAUCACUGCAUUCAGCAUCAUAUCAUCAUCAUAAUAACGAUCAUCACCAUCAUCACUGUAAUGAUCACAAUCAUCGUUGACAACACCACCACUUUAAUCAUCAUCACCAUUAUCACCAUCACCAGCAUCAUCAUUAUCAUUAUCAUCAUUAUCAUGAUCAUCAUACCAUACAGUAACUAUCAGUAUGUAACCAUUACUACCACCAUCAUCGCCAUCACCAUCAAAAAACUACCCUCACCCUAUUUAUCACCAUUAAACCAUGAAAAUUUCCU